rnacentral:rRNA from 1 species
GCAUGCCUAAGUACAGCUCGGUGACAACACCGGGCGAAACCGCAGACGGCUCAUUAAAUCAGUUGUGGUCUAAGUGGGCGACAGUUUUCCCUAGUUGGAUAACUGUGGAAAAUCCAGAGCUAAUACAUGCGACACACAGUCCUCAGCAAACGCCGUACUUGUACGGUUAUGAGCUCGGGAUGCUUUUAUUAGACCGAGGCGCGCGCAUAAUGUACCUUAGCACCUCGCCGUUUACUCGGUGACUCUGCGGUGACUUGUGCGACGUGUAAGCGCUAAAAGGUGACUCUGGAUAACACGGAUAAGCGUGGCUUAAUUGACACGCUGCCUACUUACGAGUGACUGACCUAUCAGCUAGGAUUGUAUGUUAUACGCAAACAAUGGCACUGACGGGUAACGGGGAAUAAGAGUUCGAUUCCGGAGAGGCAGCCUGAGAAACGGCUACCACGUCUAAGGACGGCAGCAGGCACGCAAAUUACCCAAUCCCAGCACAUGGGGGAGGUAGUGACGAUAGAUACUGAUGCGGGUCGUUCUUCGGAACACUCGCAAUUGGAAUGGAUAUUUUCUAAACACACUAAUGAGAACCUACUGGAGGGCAAGCCUGGUGCCAGCAGCCGCGGUAAUUCCAGCUCCAGUGGCGUAUGCCAAUGUUGCUGCGGUUAAAAGGCUCGCAGUUGAAUGUCAGUUAAUAUACGCGUAGAGGUGCCGGGACGUUGCGAGCUUCUUUCGUCAGAUCGUAGCGAGCCGUCUCUCCAAGUGCAUCUCUCGCGGGCUAACGAUUCGAUUAGCGGGGAUGGCGAUGAUGGCUCUCGAGCCACCGUUGGCCGCUUCCCGCUAGUUGACACCUUGAGUAAAUCAGAGUGCUUAAAGCAGUCGUUGAAACACUACGACUGCGGCUUCCCCUUGCGGGCUUAGUCGUGUGUCUGGUGACGUUGCGAAACGUUUGGACAUUGUCUUUGCUUUGCAUGGUACGUCGAAAGACGCCGUCUGAGUUGGUCGCGCUUAUGGUUAUGUCGCUCCGCUUUUGUGUAUGCGCGUGCGCCAACGAGUACGGAAUGAUCUGAAAGGGAUGGCUCGAAGGCAUUGGUAUUGCGGGGCUAGAGGUGAAAUUCUAUGACCCCCGCAAGACUACCCGAAGCGAAAGCGUCUGCCUAGGACGUCUUCAUUAAUCAUGAACGAAAGUUGAAGGAUCGAAGGCGAUCAGAUACCGCCCUAGUUGCAACUGUAAACGAUACCAACCAUCAAUCCGUCAUAGCGUUCUCUUGUGUUCACGGAGGCGAGCUUGCUCUCUUCGUGGGCUGAGUGUAAGCGCUCGAUGGGCAGCUCUUUUCGGACGGAAAACCAGAGUUUUUCGGUUCCGGGGGGAGUCUGGUUGCAAAGCUGAAACUUAAAGGAAUGACGGAAA